rnacentral:rRNA from 1 species
CCAAUAGCGUAUAUUAAAGUUGUUGCAGUUAAAAAGCUCGUAGUUGAAUUUCGGGAUUGGCGCAUCGGUCGUGCCUCACGGGGUAUGAACUGGUGCAGUCAAUUUCUCACCUUCUGGAGAACCGCGAUGUCCUUAAUUGGGUGCCGCGGGGAACCAGGACCUUUACUUUGAAAAAAUUAGAGUGUUUAAAGCAGGCAUUUUUGCUUGAAUACAUUAGCAUGGAAUAAUAAAAUAGGACGGCAUGGUUCUAUUUUGUUGGUUUCUAGGACCACCGUAAUGAUUAAUAGGGAUAGUUGGGGGCAUUAGUAUUCAAUUGUCAGGGGUGAAAUUCUUGGAUUUAUUGAAGACUAACUACUGCGAAAGCAUUUGCCAAGGAUGUUUUCAUUAAGCAAGAACGAAAGUUAGGGGAUCGAAGACGAUCAGAUACCGUCGUAGUCUUAACCAUAAACUAUGCCGACUAGGAAUCAGACGAUGUUAAUUUUUUAAUGACUCGUUUGGCACCUUACG